ACAUACGACUAUACCUGCCAGAAAAUACGAGAUCCCGUCCGCUCUCCCAUCGUCAAGCUCGCAAGGGGUGGAUUAGUAGUUGGUUCGGUGACGACCAGCCAAUACCCGCUGUUGUAUGUU